UCCACGAGAGGCUUUUCAAAUAGGCGAACUGAAGGUCUGAUACGUUUAAGAGUACUAGAUUAUACACACCCCGUCCCUCCUCUCAACCCUAUCCCUGUCACCAGCAUCACGAAACAGUCCAAGAGAAUCCCAGCACCUUCCACGAGAGGCUCUUCAAACAGGCGAUCUGAAGGGGCGAUACGUUUAAGAAUACUAGAUUAUACACACUCUCUUUCCCUCCACUCAAUCCCUUCCCUCUCGCCUCGCCUCUGACCAGGAAGUGUGAUUGAGGGACGCGAAGGGCCCACGACGUCCCCAAGAAAACCAGCAAGUCAUCCCCCUCGAGCUGUUGGGUCAGGAGGCGACGGUGCUAACGGAAACGGUGAAUUGGGUGAAAAAAUGAGUUGGGUGUGACGUGGACAGUGUAGGAAGCGAGCACGUAUCACGGGUUAGUUGCGUCAAUGGGUUCAGCUCGAGGGCGUAAAAAUAAAUAGAAGGCAAGACAGGGAGUUAAGGUAAAUCGAGGUUAAGUUAGUGAAUUGAGUAAAACUAUGAUCUGGGGGUGACGUGGAGAGUGUGGGAAGCGGGUACAUAUCAUGGGGUGGAUCAAAGGAUACAGCUUGAUGGCAUAAAAAUAGAGAAAGAGAAGGCAAGACAAAGAGUUGAGGCAAAUUGAGGUAAGGUUAGUGAAUUGAGUAAAAAUAUGAUCUGGGGGUGACGUGGAGAGUGUGGGAAGCGGGUACUUAUCAUGUGUUACGUCAAUGGAAACAGCUCGAGGGCAUAAAAAUAGAGAAAGAGAAGGUAAGACAAAGGUUGAGGAAAAUCGAGGUGGGUGAAUUGUGUGAGAAGUUUGAGGUGGGUGUGACGUGGAGGGUGUGGGAAGCGAGUACGUAUUGGUUAGGGAGCGAGACAAAGGGUUAGGUGAGGUUAGGUAAGGUGAGCUGUACAGGUAUAGGAAGUUAGAGAGAUAGGAAGCUGAGUUGAAGUAAAGUGAUAUAGGAAGAUAGAGGAAGGUAGACAGAUAUAUAUUAAGGAAAGAUAUAGGAAGUAGAGGUGAAUCAAUGUAAAGGGGAGAGAGAGAUAGAAAGGUAGAGAGAUAUAGGAAGGAGAAGCGAUACAAGAAUUAAGAUGAAUUGAGGCCAGAUGGAGAGAUAUAGCAAGCAAGUAUUAUGGGUUAGGGAACGAAGGUAAGGUAAGGUAAGGUAUAUAUACUUAGGAAGAUGAAAUAUAGGAAGGUGAGAUACAAGAAGUUAAGAUGAAUUGAGGUUAGAUGGAGAGAUAUAGCAAGCAAGUAUUAUGGGUUAGGGAACGAAGGUGAGGUAAGGUAUAGAUACUUAGGAAGAUGAAAUAUAGGAAGGUGAGAUACAAGAAGUUAAGAUGAAUUGAGGCCAGAUGGAGAGAUAUAGCAAGCAAGUAUUAUGGGUUAGGGAACGAAGGUGAGGUAAGGUAAGGUAUAGAUACUUAGGAAGAUGAAAUAUAGGAAGGAGAAGCGAUACAAGAAGUUAAGAUGAAUUGAGGCCAGAUGGAGAGAUAUAGCAAGCAAGUGUUAUGGGUUAGGGAACGAAGACAAAGGUUAGGUGAGGUAUAGAGAGGUAAGAAAAUGAGGCAUAGGAAGGUGAGGUGAAUAGAGAUGAGAUGGAGAUUAUGAUUAAGGGAUUAUUAUGAUUCAGGGAAGGAGACAAAGUUGAGGUGAAGUGAGGUGAGUAAAAAGUAAAAGUUAGUAAUGACGUAGAGAUAAAGAAAGCGAGCAUCAUGAUUCAGGGAACAAGACAAAGGUUAAAGUGUAUUCCAGUGAGGAUGAGUAACAAGUAGAUUUAGCAAAGUUAAAAUAAUGGCAUACGCUAUGGCUGCGCGUGGCUCCGGUGCUCAUCUCCGUCGCAGGGCAGGUCAUAUCACGCGUAGGUAGACGAGAUUAGAAAGAGAUGAGCAACCAGAGUGACAGAGUGGCAAGAGGAAUGAAUUAAAAGACAUUAAAGAAAACAUUGGUGGUAUUUAUGUCCAAACUAACAAAGAAAAUAUUACACGUUGUCUUGACGCUUAGCAGAUAAGAUUUUAGGGCCAGAAGUGUUGUUAUUUUUGUUGUUGUUAUUAUUAUUAUUUUAUUAUUAUUAUGGGAAGUAAGGGAGAGGGAGGUAAAG